rnacentral:rRNA from 1 species
AGAGUUGAUCAUGGCUCAGAAUCACGCUGGCGGCGUGCCUCAGACAUGCAAGUCGAACGAUUAAAGCUCUCUUCGGAGAGUGUAUAGAGUGGCGCACGGGUGAGUAACACGUAAGUAAUCUACCUCGGGGUGGGGAAUAACGUUCGGAAACGAACGCUAAUACCGCAUAAUGCAGCGGCUUCUUAUGAAGACAGUUGUUAAAGCAUUUAUGUGCCUGGAGAGGAGCUUGCGGCAGAUUAGCUAGUUGGUAAGGUAAUGGCUUACCAAGGCAACGAUCUGUAGCCGACCUGAGAGGGUGGUCGGUCACACUGACACUGAAUAACGGGUCAGACUCCUACGGGAGGCAGCAGUCGGGAAUUUUGGGCAAUGGGCGAAAGCCUGACCCAGCAACGCCGCGUGAAGGAUGAAGUAUUUCGGUAUGUAAACUUCGUAAAAAUGGGAAGAAUCAAUGACGGUACCAUUUGUAAGGUCCGGCUAACUACGUGCCAGCAGCCGCGGUAAUACGUAGGGACCAAGCGUUGUUCGGAUUUACUGGGCGUAAAGGGCGCGUAGGCGGCGUAACAAGUCACUUGUGAAAUCUCCGGGCUUAACUCGGAAACGGUCAAAGUGAUACUGUUGUGCUAGAGUAUAGAAGGGGCAAUCGGAAUUCUCGGUGUAGCGGUGAAAUGCGUAGAUAUCGAGAGGAACACCAAGAGGCGAAGGCGGAUUGCUAGGCUAAUACUGACGCUGAGGCGCGAAAGCUAGGGUAGCAAACGGGAUUAGAUACCCCGGUAGUCCUAGCCCUA